rnacentral:lncRNA from 1 species
AAUUACAUUUAAACGCAUAAAUGUCAAAUUGCAGCUUUUGUGUUAAUACUAUAUUCUUAAUUCAUUUCAAAAUGCAUCUGUAAAACAGAAUAUCCUCUGAUACUAGUUUUUAUACAUCGGCAGUCAUAUAAUGUUAUGAAGUUGUCGUAGACGUCCCAAUACAUUUGGUUUCAAUACAGUAAAGUGUGUAUAAGUGUAAGGAUCUCUCUGAAAUUGUAAAACAAGGUUGAUACUCAAUUUGAAGAUUGGGAUUGAUUUUUGGGGUUAUUGUCCUUACUGUU